rnacentral:lncRNA from 1 species
UCGUUUCACUUUGAAAGGAAAGACUCCAGCUAGCUAUAUGAGAUCGAACUUCUUCCAUCACUCUAUCUACGAUAUUCAUUGCACCAUGAUUGAAGGCCUACGCAUCUUCUUUCAGGUAUUUAUUAUUGGUUGAAGGCUCGCCAUCACUGAACAUACGAACAAUCAACCUUUCGUCAUUACUCCUUCGUAUCUCUCUUUUCUGUUCGCCGGAAGGCGCACCUCCACUAAAGCUUUAUCAUAGUUCCUUCUCUCACCCGUAGUUCCGUCUUUUUGGUGGAUCUUGCUAGUUACUCUCUUGAAGGUGAAACUAGGCCUACUACGGAAGGACUUAGUUCGCUAGGGCGAUCAGUGAAACUUGGUAGGUAUGGGCCGGGACCCCCCUGGAGGCUUUUUCUAAAGCUGCCCCCACGUAAGGU